rnacentral:rRNA from 1 species
GACGAACGCUGGCGGCGUGCUUAACACAUGCAAGUCGAACGGAAAGGCCCUGCUUUUGUGGGGUGCUCGAGUGGCGAACGGGUGAGUAACACGUGAGUAACCUGCCCUUGACUUUGGGAUAACUUCAGGAAACUGGGGCUAAUACCGGAUAGGAGCUCCUGCUGCAUGGUGGGGGUUGGAAAGUUUCGGCGGUUGGGGAUGGACUCGCGGCUUAUCAGCUUGUUGGUGGGGUAGUGGCUUACCAAGGCUUGGACGGGUAGCCGGCCUGAGAGGGUGACCGGCCACAUUGGGACUGAGGUACGGCCCAGACUCCUACGGGAGGCAGCAGUGGGGAAUAUUGCACAGUGGGCGGGAGCCUGAGGCAGCAACGCCGCGUGCGGGAUGACGGCCUUCGGGUUGUAAACCGCUUUCGCCUGUGACGAAGCGUGAGUGACGGUAAUGGGUAAAGAAGCACCGGCUAACUACGUG